rnacentral:piRNA from 1 species
UACCAGUGGACUACAGGAUUACUUGA